GGCAUCCACGCCGGAGAAGGGAUGUGGCUUGACACUGUUUUGGUGAGGCCCAGCACUCUUUAGCAGGGAAGGCCUUUAGCUUUGUAGAACUAUGACUCCUACAGUUCCACAGCAUUGAGCUAUGGCAGUUGUAUCGAUGGAACCCUGAGAGAAUAGGUGAUAGAAUAAGCCUAAGUGUACUUCUUUCAUAAACUUAACUUUAUGCAAGCUCCUGUUGCCAACAUCUCUCAGUCUGAAAAGCUUUCCUAGAAUUGGGUUGCUGUGAGUUUUCUGGGCUGUAUGGCCAUAUUCCAGAAGCAUUCCUUCCCGAUGUUUCGCCUGCCUGCUUCUAUGGCGGUAGUUCUCAACCUGUGGGUCCCCGGAUGUUUUGACCUUCAACUCCCAGAAGUCCUAACACCUGGUAAACUGGCUGGGAUUUCUGGGAGUUGUAGGCCAAAACACCUGCAGACCUACAGGUUGAGAACCGCUCAGCUAAGGCAGGCAUUCUCAGAGAUAAUGAGGUCUGUUGGAAACUAGUAAAGUGGGAUUUAUAUAUCUGUAGAAUGUUCAAGUUGGGAGGAAGAACUCUUGUUUUUUUGAGGCAGGUGUGAAUGUUUCAAUUGGCCACAUUGAUUAGCAUUGAAAACCUUUGCAUCUUCAAGGCCUGGCUGGUUCCUGCCUGAGGAAAUUCCUUGUUGGGAGGUGUUAGCUAGCCCUAAUUGUUUCUUGUCUGGAAUUCCUCUAUUUUCUGAGUAUUGCUCUUUAUAUACUGUCCUGAUUUUAGAGUUUUUUUAAAAAAAUACUGGUAGACAGAUUUUGUUCAUUUUUAUUAACAUAUUAUUUGAGAACACAGAAGUGCUGUACCACGUUAACAACUACCAUGUCAGACUACGCAGAGAAGCCAUUGAAAUCCACAAGCAUGUGGACAAAUUUAACAGAAAGGAGGAAACCGUGAAAAUGAAUAAAAUUUGGUUACCAGUAUGAAAAAAGCUCUAAAAUCAGUACAGUAAAUAAAGAACACUCAGAAAAAAGAGGAAUUCCAGAUAUGAAACAAUCUGAGCCAGUUAACACCUUCCAACAAAGGAUUCCCCCAGGCAGUAAGUAGCCAGACCUUGAAGUUGAAAGGCUAUUCAAUACUAAUAAAGGCGACCUGAAACAUUCACACCUGCCUCAAACAGACAAGAGUUCUUUCUCCCACCCUGAACAUUCCACAGAUAUAUAAACCGCACUUACCUAGUUUCCAACAUCCCUCAUAGCCCCUGAGGAUGUCUGCCAUAGAGGCAGGCGAAAUGUCAGGAAAGAAUGCUUCUGGAACAUGGCCAUACAACCCGGAAAACUCACAGCAACCCAGUGAUUCCAGCCAUGAAAGCCUUCAACAACACAUUUCUUAGAAUUAAAUCUCUGAAAGCUUAUGGCACCACCUUCUUUCUCUCAGCCUCAAAGGUGCUACAACUUCCCUUUGCUUACUCAUAUUCCAGACUUAACUAAAUAGUAACUGGGUGGCCAUCUGUCAGGAAGGCUGGACUGGAUGGCCCUUGUGGUUCUGUGUACACAUUGCAGCAAGUCCGGAGUGAGUCAUGUACUGCAGUGGGACUCAUACUGGUGGUCCAUGGACCUGUGUUGGGCUCUGUCAAGUUUCUAGGGGGCCUUCCACACAGCCAUUUAACCCAGAAUAUCAAGGCAAAACAUCCCACAAUAUCUGCUUUGAAUUGGGUUAUUUGAGUCCACACUGCCAUAUAUUCCAGUUCAAUGCAGAAAAUGGGGGAUUUUAUUCAGCUGUGUGGAAGGGGCCUAGGAAAGAAAACAAACAAUGUAGCCAAAACAAAUCUGUCAUUGAUCUCUGGUACACUAGGGACAGGGGGAAGUUGUAAGAGCCAGUGUUGUUUAGUGGUUGUAUGUUGGACUUAGACACCAGGACACCAGGGUUUGAAUUGCUGCUUGGCCAAAACUGUUUAUUUUCACAAGAUGAAAUAUAUUAUAUUUACUUUGUUUACAGUGUAAACAACAUAUACCAAUGACCUAAGGAAAAGACCCCAAAUUGAUUUGGCAAAUGUUUUCUUGUUCUAGACAAGCAAGGGGCUAAAUUGAUAUUCUGGUUUCAGAACAGUGUUGCAUUUUACUCUGUAACCAUCUAGUGUGCUGUAUUUUCUAACAGACUGAGUUACAAAUCAAAAAAUUUCCUGUUUGAAUCUCAUGACAUGCUCAUCAUGUUAUGGUUGAGCCUUAUGGCUCCGAUACUGGGAGACGAGGUCGUAAGACUCCUCGAGAGUCAGACUCUCUUGAGGAGCGCGAAAGGAAACGGCUCCGAGACUUAUUUGCAGAACCAACAGAUGAAGACUCCUUUGAGGGUUUUACUGAGGGAAUGGAGGAAGAGAUGGUUAGCUCAGAGGAGGAUGACAUGGAAUGGACUCGUGUGAGGGAGGAUUUGGGUGUCACCGGCAAUGAUAGCAUGGGAGGCGACUGGCGGGUUGCAGGAUCGGACCCGUGGACGGGCUGGAGGGAUGGAACGGGAUCCACAGCUGGGGAUGCUGUGGGGCGUAGUCAAAGGUGUUUUAGCUCUGAUGAGGAUGAUGAUGAUGAGGCACCUGGAAUUAGGAUAGCAGCUGAUAGUGAUGAGGAGUUAUGAACUGGCAUAAAAUGGGGUUUAGAAUCAAUGGCUAAUUGCGUUGGGCAAGGUAAUCUGGACGAACACUUGGGCUCUUGUUGGGGAAAUUCCUGAAGACGGGUGUGAUUCGUUUGCUGAAUACCUUGGACCUCCGUCGUCUUUUUGACGGACAUUAAUUGCCUACUCUGGAUUGACGCUGGACUGACUGACUGACUACGACCUCGGACUAUCCCUUCUGUGGCUAUCAGUGGAACUGGUGAACUAAAGACGUCUGUACCUGGCUUUCGACCUUGGACCGGAUUGGGACCCUGCUGACCGCUGCUACCCUGAUUGAUGUGUUUGGACCCGGAGUUCGCUCGUUGCACGGAGGAGUAACAACUUAGUUACUCAAUCAUAGCUUUUGAGUAGCAGAGAGGAAUCUGCUGCCAGUUAUUUGUGUUUCAUUGAAUCUUUGUUUACCAACUUUUGUUUGUUUAAAGUGCCAGGCUGAAGUAAGCAUUUUUGAUUUAACCCGGAUUAAACUCCUGUUUAAUCCGGUUUAUCUUUUGUACCGUUUUUAGUAUCUUUUCACAUUGAAGGCAAGUGUUUGCCUAGCCCUUUGUUUCUUACGGGCAUUUUUGGUUCUGUAACUUUAAUAAACUGUGUUGAAUCUUA